rnacentral:rRNA from 1 species
GCCAAUGCUAGCCCCAAGCACAACCAACACUAAUACCAAGCCAACACACACUAAACCAUUUACCUACACAAAGUAUAGGCGAUAGAAAUUUUAAUCUGGCGCUAUAGACACAGUACCGUAAGGGAAAGAUAGAAAUCCACCCAAGCACAAAACAGCAAGGACUAACCCCUGUACCUUUCGCAUAAUGAAUUAGCUAGAAACAAUUUCACAAAGAGGACUACAAGCCAAAUCCCCCGAAACCAGACGAGCUACUCAAAAACAGCUAAAAGAGCGCACCCAUCUAUGUGGCAAAAUAGUGGGAAGAUUUCUGAGUAGAGGUGAAAAGCCUACCGAGCCUGGUGAUAGCUGGUUAUCCAAGACAGAAUCUUAGUUCAACCUUAAGCUUACCUAUAGAACUACCUAAUCCCCCUGUAAGCUUAACUGCUAGUCUAAAGAGGGACAGCUCUUUAGACACUAGGAAAAAACCUUACGGAGAGAGUAAAACCCCCAAUCACCAUAGUUGGCUUAAAAGCAGCCAUCAAUUAAGAAAGCGUUCAAGCUCAACACUAACCACCACAAAAAUACCAAACACAUAACUGAACUCCUCACACCACAUUGGAUUAAUCUAUCACCAUAUAGAAGCAAUAAUGCUAGUAUAAGUAACAUGAAUAUUUUCUCCACCGCAUAAGCCUAAAUCGGACCGAAAGUCUCACCGAUACCUAACAGCCAGGCAUAACAAACACAAACAAGCCCAUGCCACCUUCGCUGUUAACCCAACACAGGCAUGCCUCAAGGAAAGGUUAAAAAAAGUAAAAGGAACUCGGCAAACUCAAACCCCGCCUGUUUACCAAAAACAUCACCUCUAGCAUUACUAGUAUUAGAGGCACUGCCUGCCCAGUGACACACGUUUAACGGCCGCGGUACCCUGACCGUGCAA